rnacentral:rRNA from 1 species
AGUGAACGCUGGCGGUAGGCCUAACACAUGCAAGUCGAACGGCAGCACACUAAGAGCUUGCUCUUACGGGUGGCGAGUGGCGGACGGGUGAGGAAUACAUCGGAAUCUACUUUUUCGUGGGGGAUAACGUAGGGAAACUUACGCUAAUACCGCAUACGACCUACGGGUGAAAGCAGGGGAUCUUCGGACCUUGCGCGAUUGAAUGAGCCGAUGUCGGAUUAGCUAGUUGGCGGGGUAAAGGCCCACCAAGGCGACGAUCCGUAGCUGGUCUGAGAGGAUGAUCCGCCACACUGGAACUGAGACACGGUCCAGACUCCUACGGGAGGCAGCAGUGGGGAAUAUUGGACAAUGGGCGCAAGCCUGAUCCAGCCAUACCGCGUGGGUGAAGAAGGCCUUCGGGUUGUAAAGCCCUUUUGUUGGGAAAGAAAAGCAGCAGGUUAAUACCCCGCUGUUCUGACGGUACCCAAAGAAUAAGCACCGGCUAACUUCGUG